rnacentral:rRNA from 1 species
UAAUACGGAGGGUGCAAGCGUUGUUCGGAUUUACUGGGCGUAAAGGGUGCGUAGGCGGACGUGCAAGUUAAGGGUGAAAUCCCGGGGCUCAACCUCGGAACAGCUUUUAAAACUGCAUGACUAGAGUAAGAUAGAGGCAGAUGGAAUUCCUGGAGUAGCGGUGGAAUGCGUAGAUAUCAGGAGGAACACCAGAGGCGAAGGCGAUCUGCUGGGUCUUAACUGACGCUAAGGCACGAAAGCGUGGGGAGCAAACGGGAUUAGAUACCCCGGUAGUCCACGCUGUAAAUGAUGAAUACCAACUAUGUGAGGAAUCGACGCCGAACGUAGUGCAGCUAACGCGAUGAGUAUUCCGCCUGGGAACUACGGUCGCAAGACUA